rnacentral:rRNA from 1 species
GACGUAGGAGGCGAGCGUUAUCCGGAUUCACUGGGCGUAAAGCGCAUGUAGGCGGUUUGUCAAGUCCGUUGUUAAAGCCCCCGGCUCAACUGGGGAGGGUCACGCGAUACUGCUCGACUCGAAGGCAGGAGAGGGAAGUGGAAUUCCCGGUGUAGUGGUGAAAUGCGUAGAUAUCGGGAGGAACACCAGUGGCGAAGGCGACUUCCUGGCCUGUUCUUGACGCUGAGGCGCGAAAGCUAGGGUAGCAAACGGG